rnacentral:rRNA from 1 species
GAAUUAAAUUUUCUCUAUUUCGCAAUAGAAAUAAAAGUAGGUCUGUUCGACCUUUAAAAAUUUACAUGAUUUGAGUUCAAACCGGUGUAAGCCAGGUUGGUUUCUAUCUUUUUUUAAUUAUUUUCCAGUACGAAAGGACAAAAAAUAAUAUUUUAAAUAAUUUAUUGGCAGAAAAUUGCAUUAGAAUUAGAAUCUAAUCAUACUUAAUAUUUCUUUAAUCAACUCUAUUUUCCCUAUAAUUAGAAUCUUAAUUAGAGUAGCUUUUUAUACCAUUUUAGAACGAAAAAUAUUAGGAUAU